rnacentral:rRNA from 1 species
AUUGAACGCUGGCGGCAGGCCUAACACAUGCAAGUCGAGCGGAUGAAGGGAGCUUGCUCCUGGAUUCAGCGGCGGACGGGUGAGUAAUGCCUAGGAAUCUGCCUGGUAGUGGGGGAUAACGUCCGGAGACGGGCGCUAAUACCGCAUACGUCCUGAGGGAGAAAGUGGGGGAUCUUCGGACCUCACGCUAUCAGAUGAGCCUAGGUCGGAUUAGCUAGUUGGUGGGGUAAAGGCCUACCAAGGCGACGAUCCGUAACUGGUCUGACAGGAUGAUCAGUCAAACUGGAAGGGAGAAACGGACCAGACUACUAAGGCAGACAGCGGUGGGCAAUAUUGGACAAUGGGCGAAAUGCUUAAAAAGCCAUGGUGAGUGUGGGAGAAGGGCAGUAGGAUUGUAAAGCGCUUUAAGGAGGGAGAAAGGAAAGUAAGUAAAUACCAUGCUGGUGCGACGUGACCAGCAAAAAAAGCACCGGCGAACCUCGUG